rnacentral:sRNA from 1 species
UUGUAUCUGCGGUGUUCGGAGCUCGUAUCAAAAGGGAAUCCACAUAAUAUAUUCGGGAGUGCGGGUCCAAGCCACAUUGCAAGGUCUGUAUUUAUACGGAAAGUCUGUCCUGGCUAGGUAGCACACCCACCUGCCAUUAGGCGGGUUCACCAAAUACGUUCUGCGGCACAGGCGGAUAUAUU